CAGCCGCUUGGCCAGCACCAGGUCCGCACCCUCGGGCGCUGCCCAUCGUCUUGCGCAUCAGCUCGGCAUAGAAACCGUCGGGCAUGACCUGCAGGACCAGCGCCUGCGCGGCGGG
rnacentral:tRNA from 1 species